GAUGAACGCUAGCGACAGGCCUAACACAUGCAAGUCGAGGGGUAGCACAGAAUAGCUUGCUAUUUGGGUGACGACCGGCGCACGGGUGAGUAACGCGUAUGCAACCUGCCUAUAAGAGGGGGAUAGCCUUUCGAAAGAAAGAUUAAUACCGCAUAAUACUAUUUACCUGCAUGGGUAGAUAGUUAAACUAAUUGGCUUAUAGAUGGGCAUGCGUUCCAUUAGAUAGUUGGUGAGGUAACGGCUCACCAAGUCAGCGAUGGAUAGGGGUUCUGAGAGGAAGGUCCCCCACACUGGUACUGAGACACGGACCAGACUCCUACGGGAGGCAGCAGUGAGGAAUAUUGGUCAAUGGGCGAGAGCCUGAACCAGCCAAGUCGCGUGAAGGAUGAAGGUCUUAUGGAUUGUAAACUUCUUUUAUAAGGGAAUAAAAAAGAUCACGUGUGGUCUAUUGCAUGUACCUUAUGAAUAAGCAUCGGCUAACUCCGUGCCAGCAGCCGCGGUAAUACGGAGGAUGCGAGCGUUAUCCGGAUUUAUUGGGUUUAAAGGGUGCGUANGCGGUUUAUUAANUCAGUGGUGAAAGUUUUCGGCUCANCCGGAAAAUUGCCAUUGAAACUGAUAGACUUGAGUGUAAACGAGGUA
rnacentral:rRNA from 1 species